rnacentral:rRNA from 1 species
AGCGAACGCUGGCGGCAGGCCUAACACAUGCAAGUCGAGCGGCAGCGGGUCCUUCGGGAUGCCGGCGAGCGGCGGACGGGUGAGGAAUGCGUCGGAAUCUGCCUUUUUGUGGGGGAUAACGUAGGGAAACUUACGCUAAUACCGCAUACGACCUACGGGUGAAAGUGGGGGACCGCAAGGCCUCACGCAGAAAGAUGAGCCGACGCCGGAUUAGCUAGUUGGCGGGGUAAAGGCCCACCAGGGCGACGAUCCGUAGCUGGUCUGAGAGGAUGAUCAGCCACACUGGAACUGAGACACGGUCCAGACUCCGACGGGAGGCAGCAGUGGGGAAUAUUGGACAAUGGGCGCAAGCCUGAUCCAGCCAUGCCGCGUGUGUGAAGAAGGCCUUCGGGUUGUAAAGCACUUUUGUCCGGGAAGAAAUCCAAUCGAUUAAUACUCGGUUGGGAUGACGGUACCGGAAGAAUAAGCACCGGCUAACUUCGUGCCAGCCGCCGCAGUAACAC